UCCGAGUUGACCCCGGCAGUCUCCUAUGAGUCCCCGCCAUUACGCGCUGGCAACAUAGAACGAGGGUUGCGCUCGUUGCGGGACUUAACCCAACAUCUCACGACACGAGCUGACGACAGCCAUGCACCACCUGCACACCAACCACAAGGGAAGCCCUAUCUCUAGGGAUGUCUGGUGCAUGUCAAACCCAGGUAAGGUGGGGAUGACGUGUCCUUGAUAGG
rnacentral:misc_RNA from 1 species